GACGAACGCUGGCGGCGUGCCUAACACAUGCAAGUCGAACGGACAGGCCCUGCUUUUGUGCGGUGCUCGAGUGGCGACGGGGUGAGUAACACGUGAGUAACCUGCCCUUGACUUUGGGAUAACUUAAGGAAACUGGGGCUCAUACCGGAUAGGAUCUCCUGCUGCAUGGUGGGGGUUGGAAAGUUUCGGCGGUUGGGGAUGGACUCGCGGCUUAUCGGCUAGUUGGUGGGGUAGUGGCUUACCAAGGCUUUGACGGGUAGCCGGCCUGAGAGGGGGGCCGGCCACAUUGGGACUGAGAUACGGCGCAGACUCCUACGGUAGGCAGCAGUGGGGAAUAUUACACAGUGGGCUGGGGCCUGAUGCGACGACGCCGCGUGCGGAAAGACGUCCUGCUGGUUGGAAACCGCUUUCGCCUGAGACGAAGCGUUAGUGACGGUAAUGGGUAAAGAAGCACCGGCUAACUACGUG
rnacentral:rRNA from 1 species